rnacentral:rRNA from 1 species
AUUGAACGCUGGCGGCAUGCCUUACACAUGCAAGUCGAACGGCAGCGCGGGAACAAUCCUGGCGGCGAGUGGCGAACGGGUGAGUAAUACAUCGGAACGUGCCCAAUCGUGGGGGAUAACGCAGCGAAAGCUGUGCUAAUACCGCAUACGAUCUACGGAUGAAAGCAGGGGAUCGCAAGACCUUGCGCGAAUUGAGCGGCCUAUGGCAGAUUAGGUAGUUGGUGAGGUAAAGGCUCACCAAGCCUUCGAUCUGUAGCUGGUCUGAGAGGACGACCAGCCACACUGGGACUGAGACACGGCCCAGACUCCUACGGGAGGCAGCAGUGGGGAAUUUUGGACAAUGGGCGAAAGCCUGAUCCAGCCAUGCCGCGUGCAGGAUGAAGGCCUUCGGGUUGUAAACUGCUUUUGUAAGGAACGAAACGGUCUUUUCUAAUAAAGAAGGCUAAUGACGGUACCGUAAGAAUAAGCACCGGCUAACUACGUG